rnacentral:tRNA from 1 species
GGUGGCUCAGUGGUAGAGUGCUUGCUUUGCAUGCAUGAGGCCCGGGGUUCGAUUCCUUAGUACCA